GGAAAGAUGAAAAGAACUUUGAAAAGAGAGUUAAACAGUACGUGAAAUUGUUGAAAGGGAAACGAUUGAAGUCAGUCAUACCAACGGGAAAUCAACCUUUUGAGCUUGGUCUCGUGGGUUUUGAAGAGUUUCAAAGCCUUCGGAUUCGCGGGAUUGGGAUCUCUUGGUGUACUUUUUCGUACGGUUAGUCAACAUCGGUUUUGAAUGUCAUAAAAUGACUGGAGGAAUGUAGCUUCGAUCUCGUAUUGAAGUGUUAUAGCCUUUGGUAGAUGUGAUGUUUGAGACCGAGGAUUGCAACGGAUACCCUUCAGGGCUAUUCGUCUGAUCUCUGAUACGUUGCCUUGAUGUUGAAAGCUUGCUUAUGAUGUUAGGGUAUUACGGUCAAAAGGUUAGAACGAAUUACAUUCGUUAAGGAUAUCGACGUAAUGACUUUAAACGACCCGUCUUGAAACACGGACCA
rnacentral:rRNA from 1 species